GUCUACAGCAGUACUAUCCUGAACAUGCCUGAUCUCAGAAGAUAAGUUGGGUUGGGCCUGGUUAGUACUUGGAUGGGAGACCACCUGGGAAUACCGGGUGCUGCAGGCU
rnacentral:rRNA from 1 species